rnacentral:rRNA from 1 species
AUACGGAGGGUCCAAGCGUUAUCCGGAUUCAUUGGGUUUAAAGGGUCCGCAGGCGGGAAAAUAAGUCAGUGGUGAAAGCCUACAGCUCAACUGUAAAACUGCCAUUGAUACUGUUUUUCUUGAGUAUAGAUGAAGUGGGCGGAAUAUAUCAUGUAGCGGUGAAAUGCAUAGAUAUGAUAUAGAACACCGAUUGCGAAGGCAGCUCACUAAACUAUUACUGACGCUCAGGGACGAAAGCGUGGGGAGCGAACAGGAUUAGAUACCCUAGUAGUCC